rnacentral:lncRNA from 1 species
AUGGUUUUCUCCUGUCACCUCCCGGAGUACCUGGUCCAGUGCACUCCAGCAAUGCACCCCGAAAAAAAGCUACCCCACCCCCUCACCAGGUUCGGUCCUCCCGGGGAAACACACGUGCACGCACACGCACACGCACCUGCAGGCUUCGCUGAGGGGCCGCAGAGUGAGAUCAUGCCCGAGCCGCUCUGCGCUCCCUCCGGGGCCGGCCGGGGGCGGCCGGGGGCGGCCGGGGGCGGCCGGGGCCCGCGGGCCAUGCCGCGCUCACACCCAGCCCGCAGGAGCCUGGCCCCUGGCCCCUCGGGCGGGCGCAGUGCGGCACCGGCAGCGCCGCGCGCGGAGGCCCGGAGGAGGCGGCGGCCGGCGGGGGUGGUCCCCUCCGCUCGUCGCGCCACAGACCCUGGCCAGUCCCCGCCGCGCUCGGGCCUCAGUUUCCCCACCCGCAGGUCGGCGCCCUCGGGCGGGUCUUUCCGGGAGCCGGGAGGGACGCCUUCCUCCGCCGGGUCGCCCUUCCUCGGUCCCCCGGCCGCGAGGUGGCCCGCGGCAGCCCCACGCCCCGGGCGGCCACCGGGCGCUGCGCCCUCGGGCUGCGCGGCCCCGCCCGGCUGGGCUGGCGGGAGCAGGCGCUUACCUGGCGCUCCGGGCGGCCUCGCGGCGCGGCGCGGGGCGGCGGACGCGGGCGGGGGCUGGAGGGGCGCCCCCGCCCCGGGGUCCCCGCGGUCCUCGGGCACAGCGGCCGGGCCUCGGGGCUGCUCGCCGGCCCGGAUGCGCACACCCACCCGGCGGGGGCGGUCGGCUCCGGCCUCCGCGCGCCCCGGCUCACCGCCCCCGGGGCCCGGGCCUCGCCUCCUCCCGCGGCGCCGCGGCCGCGCCGGGUCCCCCGCUCGGGCAGGCCAUGUGACCCGCGAGCUGCCGGGCGGCCGCAGCCCCCAAACCCGGCUCGCGGGGAAGAAGGACGGCAGAAGGCGCCCACUGAUGGGCGGAAAGGGAAGCGCAGGCUCCGGGCGGAGGAAGUGGGGACGCUGGGAGGCUCGGGCUCUGCGCUUUCCGCAGCCGCCGCGGGCCUGCCGGCGGGUUCUCGCCGCUCCGAUCGGCUUUGCCCGCCGCGCAGAUAUUAGCCGACGCCACCUGCGCCCCGAUCCCUGCCGCGCCCAGCCCCGCGCCCGGCGCCCUAUGAACGUCCCUCCGCAUCUCACUUCAUCCCUGGGCAUUACAGACCGUCAUCCCCGAUUUGCAAAUUUGCAAAUGACGGAAGAGUCGAGGAGCUAA